UACGGAGGGGGCAAGCGUUGUUCGGAAUUACUGAGCGUAAAGGGCGCGCAGGCGGCUGCUCAAGUCAGGCGUGAAAGGCCUGGGCUCAACCCGGGAAUUGCGCUUGAGACUGGGCUGGCUUGAGUGCGGGAGAGGAUGGUGGAAUUCCCAGUGUAGAGGUGAAAUUCGUAGAUAUUGGGAAGAACACCGGUGGCGAAGGCGGCCAUCUGGACCGCAACUGACGCUGAGGCGCGAAAGCGUGGGGAGCGAACCGG
rnacentral:rRNA from 1 species